CAGAGAAAGGGCUAUAUCUCCCCUUAAACAGUCCUUAGAAAUGCAAAGGAAAACAUACAUCACAGCUGGCGUCUGCAGCCAGAACCAACACGAUCCAUCCGUCUGGGACUCCACUUCACGGGAUUGGCUGGACCACCGCCCAGGGUCAAAGGUGUGGGAAGGACAUCUCCAGACUGGAGAUGGUGGAGACCGAGAGAGACCAAGAUGGAGACCAAGUAAUGACGAUGAAGCAGUAAGGCGGUGGAAAGUGAUGCAACAUGUCGUUGAUUGUAUGGAUGUGUGCAAUGUCUAUGUAGUGAUUGUUGCUUUGUUGUGAUAGUGUUGUGUAGUGGUUGUUGUGUGGUUGUGACAGUGUUGUGUGUUGGUUGUUGUGUGGUUGUGAUAGUGUUGUGGUUGUUGUGUGGUUGUAAUAGUGUUGUGUGUUGGUUGUUGGGUGGUUGUGAUAGUGCUGUGUAGUGGUUGUUGUAUGGUUGUUAUAGUGUUAUGUAGUGGUGGAUGUGUGGUUGUUAUAGUGUUAUGUAGUGGUGGAUGUGUGGUUGUGAUAGUGUUAUAUAGUGGUUGUUGUGUGGUUGUGAUAGUGUUGUGUAGUGGUUGUUGGGUGGUUGUGAUAGUGUUGUGUGUUGGUUGUUGUGUGGUUGUGAUAGUGCUGUGUAGUGGUUGUUGUGUGGUUGUGAUAGUGCUGUGUAGUGGUUGUUGUGUGGUUGUUAUAGUGUUAUGUAGUGGUUGUUGGGUGGUUGUGAUAGUGUUGUGUAGUGGUUGUUGUAUGGUUGUUAUAGUGUUAUGUAGUGGUGGAUGUGUGGUUGUUAUAGUGUUAUGUAGUGGUGGAUGUGUGGUUGUGAUAGUGUUAUAUAGUGGUUGUUGUGUGGUUGUGAUAGUGUUGUGUAGUGGUUGUUGGGUGGUUGUGAUAGUGUUGUGUAGUGGUUGUUGUAUGGUUGUUAUAGUGUUAUGUAGUGGUGGAUGUGUGGUUGAUAGUGUUAUGUAGUGGUGGAUGUGUGGUUGAUAGUGUUAUAUAGUGGUUGUUGUGUGGUUGUGAUAGUGUUGUGUAGUGGUUGUUGUGUGGUUGUGAUAGUGUUAUAUAGUGGUUGUUGUGUAGUUGUGAUAGUGUUGUGUAGUGGUUGUUGUGUGGUUGUGAUAGUGUUGUGGUUGUUGUGUGGUUGUAAUAGUGUUGUGUAGUGGUUGUUGUGUGAUUGUGAUAGUGUUGUGGUUGUUGUGUGGUUGUAAUAGUGUGGUGUAGUGGCUGUUGUGUGGUUGUGAUAGUGUUGUGUAGUGGUUGUUGUGUGGUUGUGAUAGUGUUGUGGUUGUUGUGUGGUUGUAAUAGUGUGGUGUAGUGGCUGUUUGUGUGGUUGUGAUAGUGUUGUGUAGUGGUUGUUGUGUGGUUGUGAUAGUGUUGUGGUUGUUGUGUGGUUGUAAUAGUGUGGUGUAGUGGUUGUUGUGUGGUUGUGAUAGUGUUGGUGUGAUUCCUGGCAGUGGCUCUCUGAUUGAUGAAGCUGACUGUGGAGGGGCAGCGUGAGAUGAAGAGCAGUCUGAUAGCAGAGAGCUAGAUACUCUGAGAUUCACUGUGUGUCAGAUACUGAUAACACAGAGAGAGGGAGAGAGAGAGAGAGGGGGAGAGAGAAAGAGAGAGAAGGAGUGGGGGGGAAAGGAAUAGAGAGAGUGUCAGAUUGGAAUGGGAAGAAGGGGGUGACCAAUUUCUGAGUCCCUCAGACACUGGCCUCACACAGACAAGGAACAAGCUUCGUCAUCCUCCUCACUACAUGGUUUUUCACCCCUCUCUCUCUCUCUCUCUCUCUCUCUCUCUCUUCUCUCUCUCUCUCUCUCUCUCUCUCUCUCUCUCUCUCUCAUAUAUAUAUAUAUAUAUAUGUAUCUCAUUCUCUCUGUCUGUCUCUAUUUCUCUCCCCCUGUCUCUAUAUAUUACUAACUGCCUGUGGAAGAUGAAGUAAAGCAGGUGAUUUUAUGUGGUUGGU
rnacentral:lncRNA from 1 species